AUAUAUAUAUAUAUAUAUAUAUAUCUUUAGCUCAAGUACUUUCACACUUCUCAUUGCUUCAUCAGGAGCUGUGCAAUGUUGCAAGGGCAGCAACAGGAGAAAAUGAGGAAAGUUUUUUUUUUCAGAGUAUGGUAGAGUGAGUGGCACCCGCAGGUACUUCUCUCGGAAUGCCUUUGCAACAUUACAUAGCUCCUGAUGACGUACCGAGAAUUGUGAAAGUACCAGACCUAAAGAUUUCCACCCCGUGGCAUAUAUAUAUAUAUAUAUAUAUAUAUAUAUAUAUAUAUAUAUAUAUAUAUAUAUAUAUAUAUAUAUAUAUAUAUUACAUAAAUUAUAUAUUACAUAAAUCAAAAUAAUUAAGUAAUUUAUGCAGUCUUAAAAAUAAAAACUGUAAUCAGUUUGUUAUUAUUAAAUAUUAUUAAAUAUUCUCAAUUACUAGUUGGUUGGUUAAUGGGGUUUAAAGCCUAUCUACUACACGAGGGUCAUUAAGGCUGCAGGUCACCUGUUUACCACCAGUCAAGAAUAUUUUAAUAACUAAAAUAGGGAAUAAAAUAUACUCGCAGUGUAUAUACGCUAAGGGAAAUAUACCAGCAGGUGUAUAUAUUCUUUAUUAAGCCAAUAUGAGUAAAUUUAAAACGAAAUUGAUCUAAAAAAAAAAAAUAUAUAGUCUUGUCGACCUUCAAUACUUUUAUCUUAAAAUUAAAAUAUAUUAUUCUCAAACUUCGGAAGAGAAUUAAAAAAAACAUUUUUGGAUUUUUUUUUACAUACAGUAUAAAGAAUUAUGUAAAAUUUAAAAAAAAUGAUAGAGAACUUGUAUUUGACCCAAAGGUCUCAGACACUCCCUAAAGAGGGAGCCAAGGCCGGGCCACCACUUGGACAAGGCCCGGGCCGGGAGAAUACCGGCGAAUCUUUAACUAACUAACCAAACUUUAUGAAGUAUAAUACUGUCUGCACUUCAGUAAUGAUCCCCCUAAUUCUGUGCCUUUCUAAAUGAGUAAAAACUUCGUGGUUUCAUGUGGUCCUUUAUUGACAACGUUUCGCUCACACAGUGUGCUUUAUCAAGUCACAAACAGAUCUACCUAGGCGAAGAGUACAUGUGUAUAUAUAGGGUGGAGAGUGCUCAGGUACUCUCUACCCAGGUAUAUCUGAGGUACUCUCUACCCAGGUAUAUCUGAGGUACUCUCUACCCAGGUAUAUCUGUUUGUGUUGUAAUAAACCCCACAGUGUGGGGGAAACGUGUUUAGUAAAACAUCACAUUAUGCUGCAUUUAUGUGUUUCCAUCGUGUGGGUAUUUUAUAUCAUGUAUCUAACUGAAGAAUUAGCCACAAGUACAAACACCUGGAUAUCUUUAGUUGUAGACGUUUCGCCUUCCAGUGACUUUAUGUAUUGGUAAAAUCACUGGCGCACGAAACGUCUACAAAUAAAGAUACCCAGGUGUUGCACAUGUGGCUAAUUCUUCAUCUUGUGGGCAUUGUAUACCAUUUAUAUGAUUCUUAAGACACGUUUCUAAUACACAGAAUCAACACUGACACCUUUUUCUAUGUUUAACAACGCAUUUACGUCGACACGGCGAUCAGAGUGGAGCUACAUAAUCUACAUAAGGCCUAGCCAAAGAUACAUAAACUUGUAGAAAGAAAAUCACGUCUUAGAGUUUCACGGCUCACUUGCCACGAGUUCAAUCCCCACCCGUAACGUGGUGGGGAGUGAGCGUCCAAUCGCGUCAUUACGAUUUCGUGAGUCAAAGAAAUUGUAGUACACUUUGGGACGUCUAUUAACUAUAGUUAUUGAUGUGUCGUCAAGAAAUCUAUUGGAUUCAUUGCAAAUAUUUAUACACUCUUGUUGAGGUACGAGGUAAUGUAGUGUGGAGGUACAAGGUAAUGUAGUGUGGAGGUACGAGGUAAUGUAGUGUGGAGGUACAAGGUAAUGUAGUGUGGAGGUACAAGGUAAUGUAGUGUGGAGGUACAAGGUAAUGUAGUGUGGAGGUACAAGGUAAUAUAGUGUGGAGGUACAAGGUAAUGUAGUGUGGAGGUACAAGGUAAUAUAGUGUGGAGGUACAAGGUAAUGUAGUGUGGAGGUACGAGGUAAUGUAGUGUGGAGGUACAAGGUAAUGUAGUGUGGAGGUACAAGGUAAUGUAGUGUGGAGGUACGAGGUAAUGUAGUGUGGAGGUACAAGGUAAUGUAGUGUGGAGGUACGAGGUAAUGUAGUGUGGAGGUACAAGGUAAUGUAGUGUGGAGGUACAAGGUAAUGUAGUUUGGAGGUACAAGGUAAUGUAGUGUGGAGGUACGAGGUAAUGUAGUGUGGAGGUACAAGGUAAUGUAGUGUGGAGGUACAAGGUAAUGUAGUUGGAGGUACAAGGUAAUGUAGUGUGGAGGUACAAGGUAAUGUAGUGUGGAGGUACAAGGUAAUGUAGUGUGGAGGUACGAGGUAAUGUAGUGUGGAGGUACAAGGUAAUGUAGUGUGGAGGUACAAGGUAAUGGAGUUUGGA